rnacentral:tRNA from 1 species
GAGCCAUUAGCUCAGCUGGUAGAGCACCUGACUUUUAAUCAGGGUGUCGAUGGUUCGAAUCCAUCAUGGCUCACCA